UAGCGUAGUGGUUAAGUGUUAGGCUGCUAACCAAAGGGUUGGCAGUUCGAAUCUGCC
rnacentral:tRNA from 1 species